UUUAUAUUACAAAAACCUUAUCUCCCAUUUACCUAACUGUUGAAUAACUUUGCUUGUUUUGCAUUUAUCCAUUUAUCAGUGGCGAAAUCGUUGGCGAUUCUGGUUGCUUACAAAAAAUACAAGAGUUUGACUUAAUACCGGAUAUGAGUCAUAUCCGCGGAUAUGACUUUCAAUACAACGUUAUUCAAGAUGACUGAUGUUCAUUGUUUAUAUUUCAUAACGUUGAUAUUUAAGUUGCAAUUAAAAGCUCUAUUUUUUACAAAUUUUCUUCACAAUCGGCCAUUAUCGGGUAAAGCUUUUUGGUACUGAAUUGACCUUAUCAAAUUUUAAGUUUAGCAGUUCCUUCCCUUGAAAGUCCUCCCUCAAACCAUUUCCUACCCAGACAUUUUUGACCCAUUUUUUUUAUAUAUUUUUUGGAGGUGAGUUAUUUACAUCUAGCGUAUACAUAUUGUUGAUGCUUACCUUACAGCUUUUUUAAAUAAAAAAUAUACAAGUAGUGCCAGUCUCUCAUUGUACUGCAACUUCAUAAUAAGCUACAAAAAAUCGACAUGUCUUGCCUUGUCCAUCACCUCGGCUUACAGACACUUCACCCCCCAGACACUUCACCCUAGGCCCUUUUUUGCAGACACUUCACCCCUCAUUUUAAGAAAUUUGAGUAAGGUUAUAAUUAUAUUUACACUGGGGAUUAGCAUCGAAAAACCCUGACAUUUGCUUAGUUCUGGAUAACUAUUAUCUAUACGCUACCAGUACAAUUUUUUUUUGAAAAAUGCGUUUUGACUCAAAUUGAUACUACAUAACUGACAGGUAUUCAUGCCACAUGGUUAAUUUUGAAUUUUAUCCAGGGAGACAUGAGAAUUAUGCAUAAUAUUUAUACACAUUUAAAGUUAAACCAUGCAUAAUAUAUUGAUUUCCUAUUGGAGUGAAAAAAAUGAGUACAUGUACAUAAAUAAUGUUCGGAAGUAUAAAAUGAACUAGGUACAAAUAUUGCUCUGUCAGAUGUAGUUGUACUUGGUUUUUAUCACAUAUCACUUAUCAAUAUGAAAUCAUCCAUUUUAUAUAUGCCAAUUUUGGAUGGGAAUUUUGACAGUAAUUUUGGGACUUUAAAAAUAAAACAUUUGAAAAUUUGCUGUCUUUUUUUAUUGGGAACGUAAAUAGUUUUAUAAGGGAAAAAUGCUGUUCUAUUACAAAUAGAAUAGAUAAUAGUUACAAAUACUACAAAUAAUAUAUCAGGGAUUGAAAAACGAAAAACAACAACAAUGCUUAAAAAAUAUAAAUUUCCUACAUGUUCUGACUCAUUUUUCUUUUUUGAAGACAAUUUUUCUUUUUUGAAGACACUGUUUAACUAACUUCUUUCUGACUAAACAUUUGCCGAAUAUUGCAUUGUGACAUUUUAAAAAAAUUUUGUGGAACAUACUGGAAUCGCCGCACAGGCUUUUAGUAAGUUUUUACAAAAUAGAAUCGGACAGAAUUAAGCGUUGCAUUCAACAAAUCAACAUCAGUUUUGCCCAUCAAACACACGGGAAUUAUUUUGUGCUCUGUCUUACUAGUAAAACUUGAAAAAUGGUUUCAAAAGAAUUGAAUUGAAAUUUGAUUAAUUUAUGCUAGAAAUUUCACAUGUCCUGCAGGACGGGCAUUUUUGGGAGAUUAACUUGUCCAGAGUCAUUUUUACUCGUAUUUAUCAUUUAUGAGCGGACAAGUGGAUUUGUCGAGCCUUGAUUAACUGCAAGUGAUUAACCACAUUAUUUCCAUAAAACUUAUACUACAUGUAAUUACAUUGUUUGAGAUAAUAAAUCAUUUGACUUACUAGUGAAAUAAGUUUAAGACUGCAUAAUAUUGAUAUAAAAGUGAAUUCAGUUAGUGGGUUCCAAACUACAGGUGGAAACUGUUCUAUUUUCUAUUCAAGUUUUUUUUUGAUGAAACAAAACUUAAUCCUGACAACAGUUAUAUAUGCUUAACAGUGUUGUAUUUUGAUUAUUUUAAAAUCUGUUGAAAAUAUUUAUAUUAAAUUCAUGAAAAGAAGUUUUAAAAAAAGAGAAAGAAAUGAGAUUUGGGCAUAAUUUUUAAGAAGGUAAAGAUACUUCAAUGAAAAAGUAAGAUAGGUAACAAAAAUCAAUCAAACGAAAAACACAUUUAAAUUUCAAGUUGUUCCUGACAUGUCUAAGUUGUUCCUGACAUGUCAGAACAAAAUUAAUAUUAUUUUUUUUUGAAAUCUGGUAACCUUGAGCUAUGUUCUCUACCGAUUGAGCUAUGAUUCCGACAAUUAUUACUCACUUUUACAAUUGUUAGUCAAUCAUAUCUGGACAUGCAACAUUCAACUUACCCAUAUAUAUGCCUUUAAAAAGGACUGCUUCGACUAUAAAUACUUGAAAUUAUAAAGAAAUUGCCCUAUUAUUCUUAACAGUCUAUUGUGUAUAGGCUAAAUUUAGGAGACACUUGUGAAAAUACGCAAUGAAAAAUGAAGAAUUACAUUGAAAAUACAGGAAAUGAAAAUGAGCAUUUUACUUUAUCAAUAUUUCUUAAUGUUUCAAUGAAGUAUGUAAUAAAUUAAAAGAACUAUUGUAUUGAUUAGGAAAAGUUUUUAUUUCAGGUUUGUGAAUAAAGGCUUGUUUGUUAGAUUUCAAUUGUGGCUCAGUUGGUUGUUUGCUGAGAAGCUGUGAAACAUAAUUAUACAGGCCAUUAAGGAGGUUUUUGUCAGAUUGAUGAAUGUGAAAUUAAGAGGACCCAUUUUGAGAAUGCCUUUUAUGAAUUGAAUCAAGAGAGAUAAAGUCUAAAAUGUGAUACUGUCAAUGUGACUAACCUUGAAGUAAACAGAUGACACAAUGUCAUGGGCAUAUAAUGAAGAGAAAACAGAGAUGCUUGUUUGACAGAUACAGUAAUAGUAGGAGUUAUGAGGGAAGAUAGAUUGCAGUGAUAACUAUAUUGAGGCACCACUUCAUCACCAAGAACAUGAAAUGAAUUAUCAAUGUUUUCAAUGUGUUUGAACACCCAUUUUAAAUAAUACAGCUCUGAGUGAAUUUUUCAAAAUAAUUAAUUCUGUUUUCAAAGUUUUUUAUUUAGAUGUUAGUUGAUCUUGUCAAGUACUUUAUUUUUUUAGGGAUGGCAACAAUUACUAAAAUCAAUACUCGAGUACUCGGUCAUUUAGAGUAUUCGGUUACUGGGAUGAUUUCCAAUGAUCUUUAAAUUUUUAUCACACAAUAUCAACACCGUCUGCAUGCUACCUUCAUUUUCUAUUUUAAUUCAUAGAAUUUGUAGCUAUAAAUAGGAUUGCAAGAAAUACAUAUAAUAAAUAUAAGCAUAAGAAAUGUCAAUGACAGCAUUUAUUAUAUACCAAUAAAUUUUCUUCCUAAAACACAGGAUUAUCUUGAAGCGCAAAUAGUUUUCAACGGUUAGAAAAUUCUGUAUUAUGUUAGAGACAAAACAGUACCAUAUAUGAAAGGCCUGGACAAUUUUUAUGCUCCCCGAAAAAUUUCGGGUGAGCAUAUAGUCGCCGCCUUGUCCGUCCGUCCAUCCCCUUUUCUUGUCCGGGACUUAACAACAAGAGGUAUCAACAUGAAACUUUGUAGGUACAGUCUAUGCGAAAGACUUCUGAGUUUUACUGGACAGUAGGUCCUGUAAACUGAAAAUUUUUACUGGACCAAACAUGAUUUUACUGGACCGAAAAAAACCUGAUUGGUAUAGCAUUUUGAGUCAUUUGAGUGUCAGCAGUCAAAAAAUUUGUGUACAAAAAGAAAAUUGUAUUAUCAACGAAGUGAAGUUAUCUUUUUUCACCACAAUCAAAAUGUAAACAUAAAUAUUGUUAUACAUGUAUUCAAUGGAUUUUGCUAUUUAAACUUUAAUUUCAUACAGCAAAAUGAGAGGGUAAAUUUCAGCAAAAGUCUGGCAUAUGUAAACAGAAUUAUAUAUAUCGGUAAUUUAGUGAAGUUGACAGAUUAAUUGUUCAAUGAUUUUGGUACCUUCACAGUAUAGUUUAAUUUUUGUCAACAUCUUGGACGAUCUUUCAUAGCUAAACACCAGUUGAGCACACAUGUAAUUUAACAUUUCUCUAAGUCUGUGGAUUAAAGACGUAAAUUGUUCCAAUUAAUUCACUGACGCUUUCAUCUGUGUAAACAAACUAAUAGCGGUUGACCUUUUACAUCUGGGCCGCUUAUGUAAUUUACAUGGCCGCUUAUUGACUUUUACUUGUACUAGUUGUCGGAUAUUUUUAUCUUACGUUGUUACAUUAAAGUUUGCAUUAUGAGAAUGCAUAACAGUUGACAAGCAUUGCACGAGCUUAUAUUGUGUAAUGACAACAUUUUGAUUUGUUUUGAAUGUAGGUAAAUGAUCGGCCUUUGCAAAAUGUUGAAUGUAAGGUUUUUAUAAAUCCUUAAUUUUUACCGGACCGUCGGGCCGUCAAAACAUAUAUUUUUAUCGGACCUUCUGAUUUUUACCGGUCAGGGCCGACGGUCUUUCAGAAAGACUGUAGGUAGAUAGAUCUCAUUGAGUAGGUGUGCAGUGCACAAGAACCGUAACUCUGCCUUGCCUAAUUUUUGAAUUAUUCCCCUUUGUUUAUUUUUACACUUUGAACUUUGUCCGGGACAUAACUCUAAAACUAUAAGAGGUAUCAACAUGAAACUUUGUAGGUAGAUAGAUCUAAUUGAGUUAGUGUGCAGUGCACAAGACUGUAACUCUGCCUUGCUUAAUUUUUGAAUUAUUCCCCUUUGUUUAUUUUACACUUUGAACUUUGUCCAGGACAUAACUCUAAAAGUAUAAGAGGUAUCAACAUGAAACUUUGUAGGUAGAUAGAUCUCAUUGAGUUGGUGUGCAGUGUACAAGAACCGUAACUCUGCAUUGCCUAAUUUUUGAAUAAUCCCCCUUUGUUUAUUUUACACUUUGAAAUUUGUCCGGGACAUAACUCUAAAACUAUAAGGGGUAUCAACAUGAAACUUUGUAGGUAGAUAGAUCUCAUUGACUUGGUAUGCAGUGCACAAGAACCGUAACUCUGCCUUGCCUAAUUUUUGAAUUAUCCCCCUUUCUUUAUUUUACACUUUGAACUUUGUCUCUAAAAGUAUAAGAGGUAUCAACAUGAAACUUUGUAGGUAGAUAGAUUUCAUUGAGUUGGUAAGCAGUGAACAAGAACCUUAACUCUCCCUUGCCUAAUUUUUGAAUUAUCCCCCUUUGUUUAUUUUUACACUUUGAACUUUGUCCGAGACAUAACUCUCAAUGUAAAAGAGAUAUCAACAUGAAACUUUGUAGGUAGAUAGAUAUCGUUGAGCAAGUUUGCAGUGCACAAGAACUGUAACACUGUCUUGCCUACUUUUGGAGUUAUUGCCCUUUGAUCAUUUUGACACUUUAAACUCUGUCCAGGACAUUACUCUAAGCAGUGCUUAUUACUCUGCCUUGCCUUAUUUUGAAGUAAUUGCCCUUUGUUUAUUUUUACUUUUUGACUUUUGUCCGAGACAUAACUUUAAAACUAUUAGAGAUAUCAACAUGAAACUUUGUAGGUAGCUAGAUAUAAUUGGAUAGAACUGCAAUGCUUAAAGAACCUAAAGAAAGCCUGGUCUAAUUUUGGAGUUAUUACCCUAAUUUCAUUUUUACACUUUGAAUUUUACCUUGGACAUAACUCUGAUAUCAUCAGGCAACUUUAUAGAUAGAAAGAUCUAAUUGAAUAGAAGUGCAGUGCAAAAAAAAACAUAACUCCGCUUUGCCUAAUUUUGGGGGUUUUGCCCUUUGUUCAUUUUUUUUAUACUUUCCAGUGUCCAGAACCUUCUCGGGGAGCAUCAACCAGUUCUUGUUAAUGUUGGUUCUGAUCUUAGCUGUGUAUAACAUAGUAUAUGGAAAUGGCAACCAAAAUAAUAAAAGGUGUGGCUGGUUUUGCACAAAUUACGUAUUCAUCUGUCAGUCAUAAUUUAUUUCUUGACAGCUACAUUUCUUUUUCUGAAAUUUCUUAUAUAAGUGUAGUAUAAUGAAAAUCAUUUAUACUUCAAACGAAAAGGUAUAUUAUUAAAGGAAAAUUAUGUUGUAGUAGCUUUCUGAGGCUAUGCAUUUUUCUACUUGCAAUGUUGGAAAAUUGUUAUCUAGCUCGCCCUUUGGUCUCGCAAGAUAUCAAUUUCCCACCACUGCUCAUAGCAAAAUACAAAGCCUCAGAGAGCUACUACAACAUAAUACUCUGUAUAUAUAUUUUUUUAUAAUUAACAAGUUUGGGCUAUCCUUGAACUUUUUUUUAUUUAAUCAAGUUUGAUUUUUUUAAAUAUAUUUAUAUGAAUGCAUGCAGCUUUGAAAUAGAUUUCACUUAUGUAUAUUUGGCAGCAAUUUCAUAUGUAGCUCUUCGAAAAAAAAUCACUUGAGCAAAAAAAAUUUUAUAGGCAUAAAGUGAUACCCGUUCAGUCAUCAUCAGUUUUUGGUUUUUAGCUCACCUGAGCUUGCUCAGGGUGAGCUUUUAGGAUCGGUGAAUGUCCGUCGUCCGUCCACAAUUGCUUGUGAACACUCUAGCGGUCGCAUUUUUGCCUCAAUCAUCAUCAAACUUGGUCAGGAUGCUUAUCUAGUUGAAAGCAUGGAUGAGUUCGAACAUGAGUCAUCUCGGAUGAAAGACUAGGUCACAAGAGCUAAAAAAAGAAAAACCUUGUGAACACUGUAGAGGUCACAUUUUUGACCCAAUCAUCAUUAAACUUGGUCAGGAUGUUUGCCUAGGUGAUAGCUCGAAUGAGUUCAAACAUGGGUCAUCUCUGGGAGCUACAAAUAGAAACACCUUGUGAACACUCUAGUGGUCACAUUUUUAAACCAAUCAUCAUCAAACUUGGUCAGAAUGCUUGUCUAGUCAAUUGCUUGGAUGAGUUUGAACAUGGGUCAUCUCUGAUGAAAAACUAGGUCACAGGAGCUAAAAAUAGAAAAACCUUGUGAACACUCUAGUGGUCACAUUUUUGACCCAAUCAUCAUCACACUUUGUCAGGAUGCUUAUCUGGUUGAUAGCUCGGAUGAGUUCGAACAUGGGUCAUUUCGGAUGUAAAACUAGGUCACCGGAGCUAUAAAUAGAAAAACCUUGUUAACACUCUAGCAGUCACAUUUUUGCAUCAAUCAUCAUCAAACUUGGUCAGGAUGCUUAUCUAGUUGAUAUCUUGGAUGAGUUCGAACAUGGGUCAUCUCAGAUGAAAAAGUAGGACACCGGAGCUAAAAAUAGAAAAACAUUGUUAACACUCUAGCGGUCACAUUUUUGCAUCAAUCAUCAUCAAACUUGGUCAAGAUGCUUGUCUAUGUGAUAGCUCGGAUGAGUACAAACAUGGGUCAUCUCGGAUGAAAAAGAAGGUCACCGGAGCUAAAAAUAGAAAAACCUUGUUAACACUCUAGCAGUCACAUUUUUGCAUCAGUCAUCAUCAAACUUUUGUCAAGAUGUCUGUCUAGUUGAUAGCUCGGAUGAGUUUGAACAUGGGUCAUCUCGGAUGAAAAAGUAGGUCACCUGGGGUAGAAAUAGAAAAACCUUGUUAACACUCUAGUGGUCACAUUUUUGCAUCAAUCAUCAUCAAACUUGAUUAAGAUGCUUGUCUAGGUGAUAGCUCGGAUGAGCUCGGACAUGGGUCAUCUCGGAUGAAAAACUAGGUCACAGGAGCUAAAAAUAGAAAAACCUUGUUAACACUCUAGUGGUCACAAUUUUGACUCAAUUGUUAGCAAACUUGGUCAGGAAACUUGCUUAGGUCAUUGCUGGGAAUAAAUCGAACAUGGGACAUCUCGGAUUAAAAACUAGGUCACAGGAGAUAAAAAUAGAAAAAUCUUGUUAACACUCUAGUGGCUACUGGUGUGAUCCAAAUAUUCUGUUAAUUGGUCUAAAAGUUUGUUUUGAUGAUUUCUAAGUCAAGAUUCAACAUGGGUCAUCUUGGAUGAAAAACUAGGUCACACAGCCCAAAUAUGGAAAAGCCUUGUUAACAUUCUAGUGGUCACAUUUUCGACUCAAUUAUCAUCAAACUUGGUCAGGAUGCUUGUCUAGGUAAUUGCUUGGAUGAGUUCGAAAUCGCAUGUGAAACUAGGUCACCGGAGCUAAAAAUAGAAAAAUCUUGUUAACACUCUAGUUGCUACUGUUUUUAUCCAAGUAUCCUGGAAAUUGGUCUGACAGUUUGUUUUGAUGAUUUCUAGGUCAAGUUUGAAUAUGUGUCACCUGGGUAAAAAACUAGGUCGCACUGCUCAAAUAUGGAUAAUCCUUGUUAACACUGUAGUGGUCACAUUUUUGACUCACCUGUCAUGAGACUUGGUCAGAAUGCUUGUCUAGGUAAUUGUUUGGAUGAGUUUGAUAAGUCAGGUGAGCGAUCUAGGGCUAUCAUGGCCCUCUUGUUUUGUAUGGUUUUAUUUAAGAAAUAUUUUGUUCCAGUUAUUUACAGAUGUUUGUAUGAUUAUUGGAUUAAAGUUAAAGUACA